rnacentral:piRNA from 1 species
UNCUAGGGACAGGGGUAGGACCAGGUGUGC